CGUUAUAUCUAGGGCUGGGACAACACGUCGAGGUCAUAGAUGACGUUGACGCAAAAAAUACUUCGACGCAAAAUAUGCACAUCGAUUCGUUGACCUGUUUUUGUUUCUCUAAAAAACGUUAGCAAAACGUUUACCUUAUGUGCGCUGAAUAUACGCGUUGGCCGGAUCAACCAUCUGUCCAACGUUAUAUAUCCAAUCCAGGGUUUUUUCUGCAUUGAUCUUUUUUUUUUUUAGCGGCUGUCAAAGCCUUAUUUGAUCGGUGAGUGAUGUAGAAUAGAAUGACUGCUGCACCUGACAGGGGGCAUACGAGAGAGAGCCCCGGCUGCGCGCGCACACUCACAGUCCUCAAACAACACGAGCGCUUCUUGCUCUCUCUCUCCCUUGUGCAUAUUAAUCAAAAUCAUUAAACACGAUAGAAAAAGGGUGAAACGCCAAAGUUUCACACGCGCUCGCACACUCACAGUCUUCAAACUACACCAGCGCUGUCUUGCUCUCUCUCUCUCUCUCUCUCUCCCUCGUGCAUAUUAACCAAAUAUGCGGAACGCCAAAGUUUCACGUUGGAGCAUUCAGAGAUUUUUUUUUUUCUCCAUGAGAGGCUGCUGGCUCCCACUGUUAAUUUUAUUUUAUUUAUUUUUUUAUUUUUUUGGGGGGGAAAAGCACUCUCCGUAUUAGCUUAAAGCCCUCAAGUGUACAUUGGUUACUGUAUUCUUUCAAUUGCUCUAAACAAGAAUUUUGGGUGACCUUUUUUAUUGAAUGCUAGACAUCAAGUUGUUGUUAUUUUCAUCUGAAAUAAGAACUUUUUUUCAGUAAGCUAGGCCCUAUGUGUUCAGUAAGCUUGUUUCAGUAAGCUAUGUGUUUUCAAGGCUUCAAGGUUUUAUUGAAUGCUAUCUCUAUACAAGUGCAAAGUAAUGCAUUCUUAGUCAGUCUUUUAUUUUGUCAUUUUAAAAGCAAUAAACAUAUAUUGCAAUGUUAAGGAAUUCAUGUUUUUUUUCAUUCAGAUAUGUAAAUCAACAUGCAUAAAUUGUUAGUAGUCAGUUAAUGGGGAGAUAAUCGAAAUUGAAUCGGUCUGAAAAAAUUAAUCGUUAGAUUAAUCGAAGCAUCGAAAAAAUAAUCGCUAGAUUAAUCGUUUAAAAAAUAAUCGUUUAUCCCAGCCCUAGUUAUAUCCGAAACACCAGAAUCAAUGUGCAUGUCUCAUCACUCUUUUUAGAUAUCGUAUAUCGUUUAAAGGGCUUUUUUUUUGUUGAUUUUUUUUUUAGAUUUAGUUUAAUGUGCCAAUGGGGGGACUGUUGUUGUUAUUAGCUAUGGCUUGGCCAUUGUGUGUAUGUGUAUAUCAGCAAAAUAUUACUUUAAACGUUAAAUAACUAGACAUUUCUGUCUUUUCAAGCAUGGGUUCAAAAUGCCACACCAGCUUAUGCUUCCCAGCUUAUUGAAUACAUUAUGCAAAAAUUGUCAAGUUAAAUCUAUGAUGCACAUGCAGUUGACCAUAUAUUUGAAAUGGCCUUACAAAUUGCAAUUAAAGUUAUGAUUCAGUAGGCAUGCAUGCUUUUUUUCAGGGGUUAUAGUUAUAUAGUUAUAAAUAUAAGAAACACUUGAUAUUUAGUAACAACAGCAAGUAGUGAUAAUUUUCUUUGGCACAGUUUUUAAAGUCAGUCUUUGAAAUUAGGAGACUACGACUUGUUGUGUGUUUGUUUUCUGGCCUUAGCAUACACAUUAGGUUACAUUUGUUGCAGUUUUGCUGGUUAACUCUUAUACAUUUAUUUUUCACAACGGAAAUGUCCUUUUUUUUGUACAAAAAAAAAAAAAGAAAAAAAAAGGCUACAUCACAAUAUAAAUCUGUCCCCAUGCUCUUCUGCUGUGAACCUUACCUUUAUUACAUGGUAAGUAGUUUUUAUUAACACUCACAUACACAUAUGUGUAUUUGACAGUGCAAGCAGUGUGUUUCAAAGGAGAAUUGAAGGUACAAAUUACUUUAUAUAAGCUUUAUAUAAUUUUAUAAACACUUUACUUUAUUUAAGCAUUAUAAACACCAUUCGUCCCCUUUGAAUUAUAAGGUUCUAUCUGCGUUCUGAGCAAUUUUGAGAUAUUGAGCUUAAAAGUUUUUGUGUGUGUGUUCCAUAGACUUCUGUAGUUAGAACCUUUUUGUUUUAUCAAUAAAAAGUCCCAAAAUGUACACAACUCAAAAAAAAAAAAAAAAAAAAAAAACAUCACUUAAUGUUAAUAAGUUGUCACAGAAUAAGAAUAUGUGAAUAACUUAAUUUUGACAAAAAUGUCAGAUAGAACCUUAUAAUUCCAAGGGGAUGCAUUGUUUUGGAAGAAGAAAUCAUUAAGAUUCUGAAUAUUUAAAUUGUCCAUGCACAUUUAAGACAUGAGCAGUACUGAAAACUCAAGUCAGAUCUUAUACUUUUAAUAAAAAAAAAGAUGUGCCACCACUGAAGUUUGAGUUAAUCUUGUCCCCACCCCACAGGACGACACUAUACAGGAGCCUGUGUCAUCAAGUAUCUGUGCACCUAUAUGAAUGAAGACCCUGAAAAACUAGUGAAGGCAUAUUUGGAUUUAGACAUUGAGUCACAAAGUACCAUGGCGCAAACUAAUGGGAGUGUAUGUCAUGAAGGUAGGAGCACUGCCUGAUGAUGAUCCACAGGACACUGGUGUCCUAACUAAAGUUCCUCCAAACAUGCUACUGGAGCAAUUGAGCUUGAACAGGACUGGUGUACUUCAGGAAGAUGCACAUUUGUAGUUUGAUGGAGAAACUUUUUUUUUUUGUUAUCCAUGGCACAGUUCCUUUAAACAGGGUGCCGGAGCAAGUGAGCAGAAGCAGUUGUUACACACUUACAAAUAUUUUCUGGGAGUGAUUUUCUUAUAUUCAGAUGUAAUGCAAUAUGGCAACACUGGUAAUUUAGAAUUAUCUACAUUUUCAUGUGAUAUCAUACAGCUCAAAUCGAUACUCACAAUUGUUUGUUUUAUCUUAUGUUCAUUCAUGUUUAUGUUAGAAUGUUGUUUUGUGUGUGUGUGUGUGUGUGUGUGUGUGUGUGUGUGUCAGGCCACGGGUUACUUUUCCCAGGCACCACAGCAUAAAUGGCUGCCCACUACUCAGUGUGUGUGUUCACAGUGUGUUCGCUGCUGUGUGUGCACUUUGGAGGUGUUAAAUGCAGAGCAUGAAUUCUGAGUAUGGUUAACCAUACUUGGCUGUAUGUCACUUUGUCAGUUUGUCGCUUUACAAUAUCCUGAAAAGGGUGGUGUUACAGUAAAGUCCUACAAGCACUGUUUGGGGAUCUGUUUUCUCAAGAGCCUAGAUGUUGUCAGCUUAAUGUUCCUUAUACUUUUGUGUUACCAACACUCAAAUGGAUAGAGGACUUAAAGUGAAGAAAGUGGUUUAAAAUUUAUUGGUGCAUGUUAAAGCCUAAUGAAAACAUAAAUAGUUUUUCAUGUUUCCAUGCCACGCUGAAUUGAGGCAUAAUUAAAGCAAAAGGAGCCCCUAUACCAAGUAUUGAGUACAUGUAGCUACAGUAAAAGAACAUACUUUCCAGAAGGCCAACAAUACACUAAUUUUUUUUAAAUUAUUAUUAUUAUUAUUAUUAUUAUUAUUGGUCUUAUGAAGUAUUCUAAUUUGUUGAGAUCAUCACAAUUAAAAGAACCAAAGGCUUAAACUACUUUAGUCUGUGUGCUGUGCAUUGGAUUUAUUUAAUACAUGAGUUUCACAAUUUGAGUUGAAUUACUGAAAUAAAUAAACAUUUUCAUGACAUUCUUAUUAAUUUAGAAGCACCUGUAAUAUAUAUAUCUGGCACGUUGAACAAACAUUGUAUCUCAACCUAUACAAAUAUCAAAACCUCAUGUCCAAAUUACUAAAACUUACACUAAACAUAUAAUAACUAGAAAUAUAAAAAUAACAGCUAAUUAAAAUUAUUUAUAAAUGAUAUGAUAGUAUAUAAAUAGUGCUAAAAUAUAAUAUAAACUGUCUAUUUAGCUUUGUAUGAGGGCCAGACCAAAAUUUUGUGUCAUGUUUUAUUCACCAGUCUACUUAUAAUGAUUACUUAAAAUUUCAAAUAAAUAAUUUUAAAAUAAAAACUAAAUCUAAUAAUUUAAAAAUAAAUAAUACUAAAGAAAGAUAUUUAAAACAUUAACAUUAUUUGUUUACAUAUGACAAAUGGAAUUUAGGGACAUCAGAGAACUGUUAACAUGCAAAUGAGUUGUUAAAUUAUUCAGAUUAAUUUAAAAUAGCAGGGGGUCAA